UACAUAGGUCCCAAGCGUUGUUCGGAUUCACUGGGCGUAAAGGGUGCGUAGGCGGUUGGGUAAGUCUGACGUGAAAUCUCCGGGCCUAACCCGGAAACUGCGUUGGAUACUAUCCGGCUAGAGGAAUGGAGGGGAGACUGGAAUACUUGGUGUAGCAGUGAAAUGCGUAGAUAUCAAGUGGAACACCAGUGGCGAAGGCGAGUCUCUGGACAUUUCCUGACGCUGAGGCACGAAAGCCAGGGGAGCAAACGGG
rnacentral:rRNA from 1 species